rnacentral:rRNA from 1 species
GCGUUGUUCGGAAUUAUUGGGCGUAAAGGGUGCGUAGGCGGUUUGACAAGUCUUAUGUGAAAUCUUCGGGCUCAACCCGAAGCCUGCAUGGGAAACUGUCGGGCUUGAGUAUGGGAGAGGUGAGUGGAAUUUCCGGUGUAGCGGUGAAAUGCGUAGAUAUCGGAAGGAACACCUGUGGCGAAAGCGGCUCACUGGACCAUAACUGACGCUGAUGCACGAAAGCUAG